AUGGUCUCACAACUUGAGGUUUCAAUUAUCCUACACCCACAGCGAACCCAGGCAGCCCAGGAGGGAAAAAAAACGCCUUCCUUGGUUUAUCUUGCUCAUGAACACCCUACACAGAAGCUCGCUGUGUUUUCAGCCACAUCAGUUGUGAGCAGAGGGGCCUUCACACGGGGUGAAGACAAUCAGCUGUGUGGAGGAUUACUGCCACAGGCUUUGGCUCGGCACCGCUAUUUACCAGCCUGCAGGUUAUCUGUGUCUGAUCUGUAGCACAACCUGGAAUACAUUCAGUACCUUGAAGGUGGCAGAUCCAGGUUAAAGAGACAGAAGUCAAAGAAAGGAUGUGAUUUGCAACCCAGAAACAGAGGCAGGAAGUCUGGAAAGUC